rnacentral:rRNA from 1 species
GACGAACGCUGGCGGCGUGCUUAAUACAUGCAAGUCGAACGGACAGGCCCUGCUUUUGUGGGGUGCUCGAGUGGCGAACGGGUGAGUAACACGUGAGUAACCUGUCCUUGACUGUGGGGUAUCUUUAGGAAACUGGGGCUAAUACCGGAUAUGAUCUCCUGCUGCAUGGUGGGGGUUGGAAAGUUUCGGCGGUUGGGGAUGGACUCGCGGCUUAUCAGCUGGUUGGUGGAGUAGUGGCUUACAAAGGCUUUGACGGGUAGCCGGCCUGAGAGCGUGACCGGCCACAAUGGGACUGAGAGACGGACCAGUAUCGUACGGGAGGCAGCAGUGGGGAAUAUGGCACAAUGAGCGGAAGCCUGAUGCAGAGACGCCGCGUGCGGGAUACCGGCCUUCGGGUUGUAAACCGAUUUCGCAUGUAACGAAGCGUGAGUGACGGUAAUGGGUAAAGAAGCACCGGCUAACUACGUG